rnacentral:rRNA from 1 species
UACGAAGGGGGCUAGCGUUGUUCGGAUUUACUGGGCGUAAAGCGCACGUAGGCGGAUCGUUAAGUCGGGGGUGAAAUCCUGGAGCUCAACUCCAGAACUGCCUUCGAUACUGGCGAUCUUGAGUCCGGAAGAGGUGAGUGGAACUCCUAGUGUAGAGGUGGAAUUCGUAGAUAUUAGGAAGAACACCAACGGCGAAGGCAGCUCGCUGGGACGGAACUGACGCUAAGGCGCGAAAGCGUGGGGAGCGAACAGG